UACGUAGGGUGCAAGCGUUGUCCGGAAUUAUUGGGCGUAAAGAGCUCGUAGGCGGUCUGUCGCGUCGGCUGUGAAAACUCGGGGCUUAACCCCGAGCCUGCUUCUGAUACGGGCAGACUAGAGGUAUGCAGGGGAGAACGGAAUUCCUGGUGUAGCGGUGAAAUGCGCAGAUAUCAGGAGGAACACCGGUGGCGAAGGCGGUUCUCUGGGCAUUACCUGACGCUGAGGAGCGAAAGUGUGGGGAGCGAACAGG
rnacentral:rRNA from 1 species